rnacentral:lncRNA from 1 species
GAAAGUGAUUUGCUAGCUUGGGUAUCAAGGCUGGAUUUGGGGCAAAAUAUGUCUAAACCCUGCCACUAAAGACAAGCUUCUGUAGCAACUCCUAGACUUAAAGGACCACAAUAACCAAAUAGUCCUUAAGGACUCUGUUUCACGUAUCUCUUGAGCACUAGUUAUCUCUGCAGCUAUAGAAGGCUACUUCUUUUCUGUGGGAGAAUAUAAUACAGAGUGCAAGGUUUGUGUUAGCCAUCAGAACUAAAGUGCAGACAGUACAGGUACUUUGGUCGAAUGUCUGGGUCCUGAGCACCAGGUGCUGUAGGAAAUGAUUUCCUUUGUAAAGCACAUUAAAAAUAACAAUAAUAAUAAUAUGUUCCUGAGUUGAUUACUUCUGUGUAUUUGAAAGUGAAACAAGCAGAAAGAGAUUUCUAGCUGAAGCCAGUAUCUUACAGGCACAAUUUGUAACUUGAUAAGGCACCCAGGAAAAUGACAAAGGGCAUGAAAAGCUACUGGCUAUGUUUUUUGUGAUACUUUUAAGCAGGCAGAUGCAAAGCAGCACCAAUUCUCACCCACCCACAUCUCAUCUCUCUCUCUCCCUCCCCACAGCUUAUUUUUAAAGCUUCAGAAGUUAUUAGUGGGUUAUCUCAGCUUUCUCUUUCCACCUGCACUCCUCUAUACCAUGAUGAAAAGAUUUGGCAAGUGAGACAUGGCAAGGACUGGGACAAUAUGCUGAGGUCUGUUUGGAGCUUGUGCAUUGGUAGAAGCAGGGCACUAUGAAGAUUGAGACAGUUCCUCCUGAAGAAACAGUCCGAAGAAAGCUUGCCAGAUGACCAUGAAUACCAACAGCUCUGUGGUGACUGAUUUAUUUUGCUCUCAGAAUAAUCCUUAUCAUCUAUGUGUUAGCUAAGGGGAAUGAGAGGUGAUCAGAAGGAAGAGUAUUUUUGUACGGUUGGUUUGUUGUUUUAUGUUUGCUUGCUUUCCUCAGCAAAUAGCAAAUUCACUGAUCAGAUUUACAUUGAAUAAAAAAGUGCAUAUUUGAGUCCA